rnacentral:tRNA from 1 species
AGUGAAGUGCCUGAAUAAAAGGGUUAUCGUGAUAGGAUAAAUUAUACAAUAUACAUAUGUCUUCACUA